GUGUAAGGCGGCGGGUUUGAAACCAUGACGCCAGUGUGGGCGGAGCCAUCCUAGGGAUACCAACCGUGUAGUACUUGGACUCUAACCAUAGGCCAUGAAGCUGGGCUUGGGACACUGGCAGGUGGGCAGUGUGACUGGGGCGGUCGCCUCCCAAAAGGUAACGGAGGCGCUCAAAGGUUCUCGCAGUACGGUCGGAAAGCGUACGUAGAGUGGAAAGGAAAAAGAGAGCUUGAUUGCAAGACAUACAGGUCGAGCAAGGAUGCAAAUCGGACUUAGUGAUCCGGUGGUUCUGCGUGGAAGGGACAUCGCUAAACGGAUAAAAGCUACCCUUGGGAUAUCAGGCUUAUAUCCCCCAAGAGUCUACAUAGACGGGGAGGUUUGGCA
rnacentral:rRNA from 1 species